rnacentral:rRNA from 1 species
CACCAGCGCCUCGAGUGGGGAUCGCGAUUAUUGGGCGUAAAGAGCUUGUAGGCGGUUUGUCGCGUCUGCUGUGAAAUUUCGGGGCUCAACCCCGAACUUGCAGUGGGUACGGGCAGACUAGAGUGUGGUAGGGGAGACUGGAAUUCCUGGUGUAGCGGUGAAAUGCGCAGAUAUCAGGAGGAACACCGAUGGCGAAGGCAGGUCUCUGGGCCACUACUGACGCUGAGAAGCGAAAGCAUGGGGAGCGAACAGG